AUUGAACGCUGGCGGCAUGCUUUACACAUGCAAGCCGAACGGCAGCGGGGGCUUCGGCCUGCCGACGAGUGGCGAACGGGUGAGUAAUGCAUCGGAACGUGCCCAUGUCGAGGGGGAUAACUACGCGAAAGCGUGGCUAAUACCGCAUACGCACUGAGGGGGAAAGCGGGGGAUCUUUCGGGACCUCGCGCGAUUGGAGCGGCCGAUGUCGGAUUAGCUAGUUGGUGGGGUAAAGGCUCACCAAGGCGACGAUCCGUAGCUGGUCUGAGAGGAUGAUCAGCCACACUGGGACUGAGACACGGCCCAGACUCCUACGGGAGGCAGCAGUGGGGAAUUUUGGACAAUGGGCGCAAGCCUGAUCCAGCCAUGCCGCGUGAGUGAAGAAGGCCUUCGGGUUGUAAAGCUCUUUCGGCCGGGAAGAAAUCGCAUUCUCUAAUAUAGGAUGUGGAUGACGGUACCGGACUAAGAAGCACCGGCUAACUACGUGCCAGCAGCCGCAGUAAAAC
rnacentral:rRNA from 1 species